GAUGAACGCUGGCGGCGUGCCUAAUACAUGCAAGUCGAGCGAACGGACGAGAAGCUUGCUUCUCUGAUGUUAGCGGCGGACGGGUGAGUAACACGUGGAUAACCUACCUAUAAGACUGGGAUAACUUCGGGAAACCGGAGCUAAUACCGGAUAAUAUUUUGAACCGCAUGGUUCAAAAGUGAAAGACGGUCUUGCUGUCACUUAUAGAUGGAUCCGCGCUGCAUUAGCUAGUUGGUAAGGUAACGGCUUACCAAGGCAACGAUGCAUAGCCGACCUGAGAGGGUGAUCGGCAACACUGGAACUGAGACACGGUCAAGACUCCUACGGGAGGCAGCAGUAGGGAAUCUUCCGCAAUGGGCGAAAGCCUGACGGAGCAACGCCGCGUGAGUGAUGAAGGUCUUCGGAUCGUAAAACUCUGUUAUUAGGGAAGAACAUAUGUGUAAGUAACUGUGCACAUCUUGACGGUACCUAAUCAGAAAGCCACGGCUAACUACGUG
rnacentral:rRNA from 1 species